rnacentral:RNase_P_RNA from 1 species
CGGGCUGACCGGGCGACCGCGUCGCGCUCCUCCGGGAGCGCGCCGAGGAAGGUCCGGGCUCCACAGGGCAAGGUGGUGGGUAACUCCCACCCGGGGCAACCUGCGGGACAGUGCCACAGAGAACAGACCGCCACUUCCGCUGCUGGUCAGGGGAAGGGGCAAGGGUGAAACGGUGGUGCAAGAGACCACCAGCGGUCCGGGUGACCGGGCCGGCUAGGCAAACCCCACCUGGAGCAAGGUCAAGAAGUCCGGGGCCACGGCCCCGGACGCGCGUGCGUCUGAGGGCGGCCCGCCCGAGCACGCGGGUAGACCGCUGGAGGCGGCCGGCAACGGUCGUCCUAGAUGGAUGGUCGCCCCCGUCGUACGGGACUCCCGUACGACGGGACAGGACCCGGCCUACAGGUCAGCCCGUCCG